rnacentral:rRNA from 1 species
UACGUAGGGAGCUAGCGUUGUCCGGAAUCAUUGGGCGUAAAGCGCGCGUAGGCGGCCCGGUAAGUCCGCUGUGAAAGUCAAAGGCUCAACCUUUGAAUGUCAGCGGAUACUGCCGGGCUAGAGUCCGGAAGAGGCGAGUGGAACUCCUGGUGUAGCGGUGGAAUGCGCAGAUAUCGAGAGGAACACCUGCGGCGAAGGCGGGUUGCUGGGCCGACACUGACGCUGAUGCGCGAAAGCCAGGGGAGCGAACGGGG